rnacentral:rRNA from 1 species
GUCCACGCCGUAAACGAUGGAUGCUAGGUGUCGCGGGCUUUGACUCCUGCGGUGCCGUAGCCAACGCAUUAAGCAUCCCGCCUGGGAAGUACGGCCGCAAGGCUAAAACUCAAAGGAAUUGACGGGGGCCCGCACAAGCGGUGGAGCAUGUGGUUUAAUUCGACGCAACGCGAAGAACCUUACCUGGGCUAGAAAACAUAGAAACCUGGGAGAAAUCUCGGGGUGCUCUUCGGAGAAUCUGUGGUUAGGUGCUGCAUGGCUGUCGU